UAUGGUUGCCAAUAUAGUUUCGGGAUAUAUGGUCCGAAUGUUUCUACCGCGAUGCCGUAAAAAUUGCGACUAUUGGGAACAUAGCA
rnacentral:ncRNA from 1 species